CUGGGAGAAGAGGUUGCAAAAUCAAAAUCCCACAAAGUUCACUUCCAAUAUUAGAUAUACAACUUCAGCUUCCUGUAAGAUAAGGACAUUUUCUGUACAGUGGAUUCAGAAUUGUAAAAACAAGCCUGGCCUCUACACUGUGCAAGCAAUGCAGUGGAGACCUGACAUUCAAGGUUCACAGCAAGGGACAAUUUGCUGAUGUAGUAAAAGAGACACAAGAUAUUGCAAACACCAAAAGAAAAUAUAUGGUCUGUGUGUCAUUCAGUCAGAAAAUAAUUUUCAGAAGUAUCUGGAAUAUAUGAAUCAUAAAAUGUUUGAUCUGCAGCUCUUCUUUAAGAACACAAAUUAAGUUAUGAGCAAGACCAAAACUCUGCACCAGAGAUUCAGUGAAGAGUUUAUGAGGAAGUUCCCUAAAUAGUCAAAAGCAUAUUUUUCUGUAAUUGUGCUCUGAAAGGAGACCAACUUUUGAGUUCCUACCAGAAUGCACUUCCUCCCACACACAGGUCCUGUUUCUGAGAAACCUGCAGUGAAAUCACCCAUAGGAAUAAAAGAGUCAGUUAUAUUACAUCCAGACUCACCUGCUGUGCCCUGAGGAGCAGCACCUGUGUGUCAGACGCUGAUUUGGUCCAGCAGAGCACAGGCCAGCCAGGACACUGCAGUUAGGAAGCUGCAGCUCAAGGAGACCACAAGAUUAACAGGCUCUCCACUGUAAGAGGGCAGAGACUCCAGAAACAGAGACUCCACUAUAUUUCUAUUAUCAAGACCUCCACUCUAAAAUUUAGGCUCUCACUGUGUGCUCCAGCCUCAACCCUGUAAAGGUGUUUUAUCAUCUCCCUCACACUGAAACAAUCAGUUUUCUCCCGUCUGCAGGAUAUACUUUUUGGUUGGUUUUCCAGUAAAGUGAGAUAACACAUCCUGUCUCCUAUGACCUAAGGCCACUGUUAUUCUGCAAUGUUUCUUUCUUUUGCUUAUUAAUUCAGAAACUGCAGUUUAAGAUCCCUAAAUUAGAAGAGAUCUUCAAUGAGCAACCUGUGGUCCACAUAAAACCUACAAAGCAACAUCAAGAGCCUCACUAAUUGUCUCAAUUCCUCCUUCUGCACCUGGCCCAAGCCCAAUACUUUUCUCCUGUCCAGCCCACUGUGCACAGAGCAGGGAUGCUGCACACACAGGAUUUGUGCUGACAGACCAUCUUAUCCCAUCAGAAUCACAGUGUCCUUGUCAGGCUGCACAAGGGUGAAAGCCAAAUGCAGGGCUAAGUCUCCUCCUGCAAUCACAGAAGCAAGAAAUGGCAGAAAGGGGUCUCCAGAGACAACCUACUUCAUUCUCGUGAUUAUUUGUCAAACAGAGCUUUGUCCUGGGUCAUGGACAGCCAGCAUCUCCUUCCCUGCAAGUAAGCUGUGUUUUCAGAAGCUCACUGAUCCAUUUUUUUUAGAUGUCUCAAGUUAGAAGCUUACAAAAACCAAAACUCAGACCCAAACACAGAAGUAUCAAGCUCCUUCCCACUGGAAGGAGACAAUUCAUUUUCUUGAGUUAUUUUCGUGACACAUCUGGAGAAUAUAUCUUUGUUUUCUCUCAAUGUUCUAUGUAGCUGGACAAGGAGAUACUUACCUUGUGCAUCAUAAAGCAUCAAGGCACUGUUGCUGUUUUUCUCCCCUAAAGGCUUUUGCCUAUUUUGCUUGCUCAGAAAAGGCACCUGCUUUCAAUUAAGACACAUGGGCCUAAAUAUACCUCACUGGAAAAAGUGCCCAUAAAGGUAUGUACAUAUUUAUAGCUACAAGAAGGAUGCACUCAGAAAACUGUUUGCUCUGCACUGUGGGGAUUUUUGAAGGAAUUUUAAAUGAGUUAGGCACGGGACCUCUGAGUUUUUAGAUGAUGUGGCUUCUUUUUCUUAUCUUCUGCAUAGGCAGGAAGGGUGAGUUCGGCUCACAUCUUUACUGCAUGGUUCAGAAGGUCACAAGACCCUUAGUUACAAGACCUAUUAAGAAUUUAUUGACCAAUAAAACACUGCCAAUAAGUAUAUUUAUGUUUUUGACCCAAUCCUUAAAUAUUUACUCUUAUGGACUCAUGCUACACUGUAAGCUUUCUUAGUCAAUCAUGUUAUGAUACACAGACCUACAGUACUGCAUUCUAAACUCCUUUUUUACCUUUGUAACUAUUUUUAUUUUUUCUAUGUCUUAAACUUUAAAACUUUCCUCAACUUAGUGAGUGCCUGCUUUAAACUAUAAAUCCUCAUUCUCACUUCUAUCACCUAAGUUUGGAAGCCUUUUCCAAGGUCUCAAAUCAAAUCCUUUGUUUAAUUCUAAGCUUUGACUUACAGGCCCAAAGUUCUGAGAAUUCCCUGCAUUUCAUAUUCCAACACUGCUCAGAGUGCAAGGAAUGUGCAAGGAAUCUCAGUUUUCUGCACACUUUCCAUAAUCAAGCAAAUGAGCUGCUGGCAGAUGUUUGGCUGCAGACCUGCUUCAAGAAGAACCAGAUACAACAAAGGAAAUGCAGAUAAACCCCAAGGCUAUUUGCAAGCUGAAAUACAGCACAACACAGAGCUGCAGAAAAGGGGGACAAAUUCAAGAAAAAAAUCAAAAAUUCAAAAGCAGCUGGACAGAGUAAGCACAUGAGAUUACUGGCUUUCCUUGCCAGAUGUUAUUGGCAUGUCACUAGCAGAGGUAAUCACCUAAAAAAGACAAGAUGUAAAUUUUAGGCUGAUUCUGGCUCUGUGUUAUUUUGGUCUGUGGGUUUUUUGGUGUUUGGUUUUUUGGGUUUUUUUUUUUUGGUUUUUUUUUUGUUUGAGUUUUUGUUUUGUUUUUUGUUUUUUGGUUUGGUUUGGGUUUUUGUUUGUUUUUUUUUUUGUUGUUGUUUCAUGGUUUUGUGGGUAUUUUUUGUGAUUCUAUUUUUGUGGGUUUUUUCCUAUUAUAAGGUUAUAAAUACAUUACCAAAUAGAAAUAACUGCAAUGAAUCUAGCCAAAAUUGCAUUGGCAUUAUCAAAAUGAGCAUUCUGCAAAUGGAACAGUCAUGCAGAGUUUUUUUUUACAUAACACAGAGGCCUCAUAUACAUAUAAUGGUAACAUGCUCUUUUAAAUAUUGAUAUGCACAUGAAAUUCAUAUAACUGAAAUUAAAUAUUCUGAACAGCUCUAAACUUAUGCUGUAUCAGUGUUGAUCUGUCCAGACUUCUUAAAAGCUCUUUGACAAAAAAAAUAAGUUUAAAUUACUUUCAAAUGAGAAAUCAUGAUUAUUGCAGUAAUUUCAUUUAUUCUAGCUAGGAAAACUGGAGAGCCUGGAAAAGUCAGACACUUUCCAAGUCAUAAUUUUCUCCCUACAUUUUAGUUCAAGGACAUGGACUUCAUUGACUGGUGAUUAAGAAAAGAAAAAUUAGGCAACCCAAGAUCUUAAAGUACUGAUACUCACAAGCAGAAAACACUGCUAUUGUUUAAUGUUUUCAGAUACUUUUCCUGGCAGAAAAGCAGACUAUCCAUCAAAGUACAGUAGCUGGCAACUGUAUACACCAAUAUCUAAUUUCUCUAAGGAAAAAAUGUUGCAUCUAACAAAAGUCUGUAUUUCUGUUUCCUUUCAAACUAUUCCAAAAAUUUUUAAUAGAAUAGGAGUAGCAAUGCAAGGAAAUAACAGUGAUGAACAAAACAGAUGUUAUGAGUCAGAUGCUCAGUUUGAGCACAUUGGAUAAAGCCAAUAAAUAAUUUGUAACAUUUAAUAAUCACGUCUCUGUAUCAAAGAUGGUUCUCCAUGAAGCUCCUGGAGGACAGAGCUGGUACAGAGCUGAGCAAAGGGGAACCCAAGCAAGUGUUAAUGCAGGACUUGCAGGGUCUGUGCUUGCUCCAGGAGCAGCCUGAGCUCCCCAGCCCUGCCCUCGCUGCUGCUCCAGCUCUGCUGGGACAGGCAGCACUCCCAGCACCCCAGGGCUUCAUGAAAGGACUUGAGUGUCAGGGUGGUUUGCCCCUUAUGAGACACUUUUCAGUAUAAAAUUAACUUAUUUUGAAGGUUUGAGUGCUUUCAGGCCUCCUGCUUUGCCAGCAACCAAAGGAACAGAAAAGAAAGAACCAAAUACAUUUGUUUGUUCUUGGACGCAGAAGAACUUCCUGUGGUUCUCUCUGUUGAGUCAUUUUUGAUAACCUUCAUGAUUCACCUCUGAGUAAUACUCACAUUGGUAAAUUCCCACUGUGCAGUGCUGCUGUAUUGUUUCUGGAAAUAAAAUCCAAAAAAUGCAAUGCUAUAAUGUGAGAUUUAAUGCCAUUGGUUCUCACUCAGAGUCCACAGGUGUUCCAGAUUACCAACAUCAUAAAAGCUUCCAUGUUAUUCAAUAAAGAAACUAUAGGAAAAGUACUCAGCACAUAGUUUUCAUCAACCAUUCCGUUUUGGUUUGACUGUGUGUUUAUUUUAACUGUCAAAUUACGAUACUUGUCAAAACAUAUCGCCUUCUUUCUAUCACCAUAUGCCAAGUUAAAUCUUUACAUUCUCACUUGAAUGUCAUGACUGCUUCAGCAUUUUGCACUGAAUAUUUCUCAAGUGUAGAACAAUCUUUGAAGUAAUACAUUCCUUUACUAAUAAAGUAACAAGAAACUAAGUAUCUCUCAUUAUCAUUAAUUUCCACAUCAACUGUUCUGUGAUAUUAUGACUAUGGCAGGAAAUGGUCUCUUUGCCUAUAAUUAAACACCAUAAAUUUGUCUGUACCUGUCAUAAGUAUAAAGGACAAGAUUUAAAGAGUGUAAGAGGGCAAAGCACCAUCUAAUUAAAUGGGCCGUUUAAGUCCUACUUUCAAAAUUUAGCAGAACAUGGAAGCCUCUGUCUCAUUUCUCCUAAUGAAUAUUUUAAAAAUGUGAUAUAAGUGAGAAUUGUUUAUCUUUUUUUCAUAGGCUAUAAAUGCAAAGUGGGCAUCCAACCACACUGUUCAACACUAAAACCCAAUCUGUCCCGUUAGGUUUGCCACAGCUCUUGGAGGACUUUCUUUUCAUAUUGAAAAGAACCCAAAUAAAUACAGUUUAUCACCAAAAUAGCUGGUCUGGGAAAAGUAUCCACUUGCCAAAAUCUAUUUUAAAAAACCCCAAACUUCCUCAAGUUUGGAGACAGACAGGAGCUGUGUGAAAAGAUAAAACUUGCUGUAAGGUUUGGGGUUUUUUAGUUAGUGAAACCCAAAGUAACUGGACAAAAAUUAAAACUUGUCCAACAGUUUACUGAUAAACUGUUAGCUUGAUCUGCGCUCUGGAGUCCACAGUGGUGCUUAAGAAAUUAAAAAUACAAAACUGUUAAAGCUCCUAUAACUCUUUUUUGGUGCCUUAUUCUUUACCAAAACAGAAAACACACAUAUGGUAUUAAGAUUAUUUAUGUAUAGUUAUAGAAAUAUGAUUAAGUAGUGAUUUUUUUAAAUUAAAUGGCAUAGUUGCAGCCUUUCGCUUGACUCUUCAUUGUGAAAGCAAACACUAUUUUAGAAAAAAAUACAGUAAAAGUGGAAUUCCCUCUGCCUUCAGCUUGAUUCUCAAAUGAUGCCAGAAGUGCUGAAAAGUCCCAGGCUUGCAGGCAAUUGUCCAUUCCCCAGCCUAUCCAGAGACCAUGCCUGCUGGUUGUCAUUCAGAAAACCUUUAUAUAGAACAUUCUACUUUUAAGACAACUCUCAAAACUGUAAACCAGGCGUGACCACAAUCCAUAAAAAUUCUCAAAGGAAGCUAAUAGAUUGAGGUGUCAAAAAAAAUACCUAAUUACUUCAAAUAUAGCUGGAGCAAAUCAACAAUCAAUAAAUAAAGUUGAUCUGAGCCAGUAAAAGAGCUCAGCAAAAUAGAGAUGCUGAAUAAACCCACAGAAGCUAAAUAAUUUUUAUAUCAAAUCCAUACUCACACAGAAUGUUUUUAACCAGGAGGACUACAACUUCUUUGUGACAGCUGGGAGCUGAAUAAUAAGUUCAUGCAACAUUUUAUCAUAUCUGCCUUACACUUGUUUCAAGUUUAGUUCCAUUCUAUAUUCACAAUAAAACCUCCCCUCUCAAUUCAUUACCUGCAGUUUUAAUUUGAUAAUACUUCUGAAAGCUAAGAUUAUGUAUUUUAUCUACUUCUGGGCUGGGUUUUGAGAACAGCAUAAAAAAAGAAUUUUGGAAUUAAAAAAAAAAAAACAACAAAAAAAAGUA
rnacentral:lncRNA from 1 species